rnacentral:lncRNA from 1 species
AUGUCUGGACGCGGCAAGCAGGGCGGCAAGGCUCGCGCCAAGGCCAAGACCCGCUCCUCCCGGGCCGGCCUGCAAUUCCCGGUGGGUCGCGUGCACCGGCUGCUCCGCAAGGGCAACUACUCCGAGCGGGUGGGCGCCGGCGCCCCAGUGUAUCUGGCGGCCGUGCUGGAGUACCUGACGGCCGAGAUCCUGGAGCUGGCGGGCAACGCGGCGAGGGACAACAAGAAGACGCGCAUCAUCCCGCGCCACCUGCAGCUGGCCAUCCGCAACGACGAGGAGCUCAACAAGCUGCUGGGCCGCGUGACCAUCGCGCAGGGCGGUGUCCUGCCUAAUAUCCAGGCGGUGCUGCUGCCCAAGAAAACGGAAAGCCACCACAAGGCCAAGGGAAAGUAAGACCAGCUAUUCACUCACUCAUCCGAAAUCAAAGGCUCUUUUCAGAGCCACCUACCUUUUUAACAAGGGCUUAACAUUUACCUCUUGGUAAAAGAACUGAACAGAGUCCUAGAUGGCACCGCAAGUCUCCUUAGUAGGUUAGGCUCAACUCCAGUUUCUCACUAGUAACUUUGUUUUGCGGCUUUCAAAUAAAGUCCCGACUCUGAGUGG